rnacentral:lncRNA from 1 species
UUUUAUUGCAUCAGAGCCAAUAAUGGAUGACAAGAACUCCAACUCUAUUACAAUUAAAAUUCUAGAUCUAUUGAGAAGAGUGGUCCACGACCCUUCACAUCCAAGUAAUCCAUAUUAUAUUGGAGCCCAUAAGAACUCUGAAACCUUACUUAUUGAACAGUUCUUAGAUUAAACUAACUAUCACACUGAGAUAUGUAAAGCUCACCUUCAAGAUUAAGGACGAAGUUAGGUUUUAUUGAUUGGAGUCUUCAAGAACCUAUAAAGUUGAGCAGUCCACUCAUGGAGUAUACUGUUUGUAGACAUUAAAUGUAAUUAUUAACUUUAGAAUGAACUAGAGUAGAGACAUGCAAAACAUAAC